rnacentral:sRNA from 1 species
ACGUACAGGAAGUACGUUCCGGUUCCUCCGCUCCGUCCGCCUAGCCUGACGUCCGCUCGCUACGCCCUGGGAGAC